rnacentral:rRNA from 1 species
UACAGAGGUCCCAAGCGUUGUUCGGAUUCACUGGGCGUAAAGGGUGCGUAGGCGGUGAGGUAAGUUUGACGUGAAAUCUCCGGGCUCAACCCGGAACUGCGUUGAAUACUAUCUCGCUAGAGGAAUGGAGGGGAGACUGGAAUACUUGGUGUAGCAGUGAAAUGCGUAGAUAUCAAGUGGAACACCAGUGGCGAAGGCGAGUCUCUGGACAUUUCCUGACGCUGAGGCACGAAAGCCAGGGGAGCAAACGGG